GCUGCUUGUAAUGGCAAGCGGAGAAGUAUGAGAGAGCUUUCCUUCUCCACCUGUUUCAGUGGAAUAGCUACAACAACGCUAAAGAGAUUCUCAAACUGUCAGCUGCUGAUUAUAUCAAAACGUUUGAUCCUUUAACUAAUGAAUUUCCCGAGCUAGGAGAGCUGCAACGAGAGUAUGGCAAUAAAGCUGAUGGACCAUCUAGUCACGUGUUUGCCGACUAUGCUCUCAAAAAGCUAUUGCAUGAUCCUGAUGUUCCUCGUGGGUGCGAUCCUAACUCUCCAGAGUACGAAACCGAUGAGUUAGGGGGUUCCGGUUCUUGUUAACCGCUAUAUAGAUUUAACUAUGAUCAUUUUCUCGCAAGCUUCCAGUUUUCCGUGUUUUAUUAUCAAUUGCCAGUUUUUAGUUCUUAUCUUCCUCUCUACCAAACUUGUUUCCUCUCUAGCUAGUUAUCUCUUUCGGUUUGUUUCGUCUCUAUCAGAACUUGUUUCCUUUUCUUUCCUUUUGGUACUACUGUAAAAUCUUGUUGCUACAACUCGAAGUUGCCACAAGUGUAAUCUUGUUUCUUAUCUUA